UUGUAUUUUAUAUAUUAGAAAUAAGAUGCC
rnacentral:piRNA from 1 species